rnacentral:rRNA from 1 species
AGGACGAACGCUGGCGGCGUGCUUAACACAUGCAAGUCGAGCGGAAAGGCCCUUCGGGGUACUCGAGCGGCGAACGGGUGAGUAACACGUGAGUAAUCUGCCCCUAGCUCUGGGAUAGCUCCGGGAAACCGGGAUUAAUACCGGAUACGACCACUUUAGACAUCUGUUGUGGUGGAAAGAAUUUUGGCUAGGGAUGAGCUCGCGGCCUAUCAGCUUGUUGGUGGGUAAUGGCCUACCAAGGCGACGACGGGUA